rnacentral:misc_RNA from 1 species
GACAAGGAAUAAAAGAUUAUACUGCAAAGUUCCCAAUGCCUCAGUUAUUUGCAGGUGAUGCUGGUUUUAUGAAUAUAAAGGUUCUUGAAUCUUCCUUCUCCAAGACAAGUUUUGUUUCAUGUCUUGGAUAAUUUCAUGCACAGGGAACGAAUUGGCAUGGAAGGAUGAUAAGGAGUUUGGGCGCCAGAUGCUUGCAGGAAUCAAUGCAGCUGUAAUUCAGUGUUUGCAGGUAUAUAUGAUGAGUUUUAACCUCUCAAGAGAAGUGCUUUCUCAUGACGAUAGUGAAUGAAUUUUAUGAGAAGGGAGAACACAUAAAGAUCGAUCUCUCUAAGCUAGUCUCAUAUUCAAAAGAACAUCUAAGCUUUGCAACGGUACCUCCUAUAUAUGC